ACGACCUUACUUGAACAGGAUCUGUUCUAUAGGCACGUACUUCUGUUUCCUUGAUUUCUCAAGAGACAGGCCCUUAACCCUGGUUGAUGAACCAUGACCGUGUGAUCAGAGCGUGAUUAACGGCCAUCGAUCGUCUCCGGAUGCAUCUGGUGCUGUAGAGGAUCGUUACUCGGCUCAGUUCUACCUUGCCGGGGUGGUAGCACGGUGGUCUGACAGGUU
rnacentral:snoRNA from 1 species